rnacentral:rRNA from 1 species
UACGAGAGGUGCAAGCGUUGUUCGGAAUCAUUGGGCGUAAAGGGUGCGUAGACGGUAUGAUAAGUUCGUUGUUAAAGGUCCUGGCUUAACUGGGAACAUGCAAUGAAUACUGUUGUGCUAGAGGGUGAGAGAGAGAAGUGGAAUUCCCGGAGUAGCGGUCAAAUGCGUAGAUCUCGGGAGGAACACCGAUGGCGAAGGCAGCUUCUUGGCUCAUUCCUGACGUUCAUGCACGAAAGCGUGGGGAGCAAACAGG